UAGAAGAGCUUUCGCUGGCCCAGACGUGAGGGCUGGCCCCCCAGCCUUGGACAGCAGUACCCCAGCCCCUCUGC
ensembl:miRNA